GAAAGGCGAAAAGAACCCCGGCGAGGGGAGUGAAAAAGAACCUGAAACCGUGUACGUACAAGCAGUGGGAGCCUCUUAAUGGGGUGACUGCGUACCUUUUGUAUAAUGGGUCAGCGACUUAUAUUCUGUAGCAAGGUUAACCGAAUAGGGGAGCCGAAGGGAAACCGAGUCUUAACUGGGCGUUAAGUUGCAGGGUAUAGACCCGAAACCCGGUGAUCUAGCCAUGGGCAGGUUGAAGGUUGGGUAACACUAACUGGAGGACCGAACCGACUAAUGUUGAAAAAUUAGCGGAUGACUUGUGGCUGGGGGUGAAAGGCCAAUCAAACCGGGAGAUAGCUGGUUCUCCCCGAAAGCUAUUUAGGUAGCGCCUCGUGAAUUCAUCUCCGGGGGUAGAGCACUGUUUCGGCAAGGGGGUCAUCCCGACUUACCAACCCGAUGCAAACUGCGAAUACCGGAGAAUGUUAUCACGGGAGACACACGGCGGGUGCUAACGUCCGUCGUGAAGAGGGAAACAACCCAGACCGCCAGCUAAGGUCCCAAAGUCAUGGUUAAGUGGGAAACGAUGUGGGAAGGCCCAGACAGCCAGGAUGUUGGCUUAGAAGCAGCCAUCAUUUAAAGAAAGCGUAAUAGCUCACUGGUCGAGUCGGCCUGCGCGGAAGAUGUAACGGGGCUAAACCAUGCACCGAAGCUGCGGCAGCGACACUAUGUGUUGUUGGGUAGGGGAGCGUUCUGUAAGCCUGUGAAGGUGGCCUGUGAGGGUUGCUGGAGGUAUCAGAAGUGCGAAUGCUGACAUAAGUAACGAUAAAGCGGGUGAAAAGCCCGCUCGCCGGAAGACCAAGGGUUCCUGUCCAACGUUAAUCGGGGCAGGGUGAGUCGACCCCUAAGGCGAGGCCGAAAGGCGUAGUCGAUGGGAAACAGGUUAAUAUUCCUGUACUUGGUGUUACUGCGAAGGGGGGACGGAGAAGGCUAUGUUGGCCGGGCGACGGUUGUCCCGGUUUAAGCGUGUAGGCUGGUUUUCCAGGCAAAUCCGGAAAAUCAAGGCUGAGGCGUGAUGACGAGGCACUACGGUGCUGAAGCGACAAAUGCCCUGCUUCCAGGAAAAGCCUCUAAGCAUCAGGUAACAUCAAAUCGUACCCCAAACCGACACAGGUGGUCAGGUAGAGAAUACCAAGGCGCUUGAGAGAACUCGGGUGAAGGAACUAGGCAAAAUGGUGCCGUAACUUCGGGAGAAGGCACGCUGAUAUGUAGGUGAAGCGACUUGCUCGUGGAGCUGAAAUCAGUCGAAGAUACCAGCUGGCUGCAACUGUUUAUUAAAAACACAGCACUGUGCAAACACGAAAGUGGACGUAUACGGUGUGACGCCUGCCCGGUGCCGGAAGGUUAAUUGAUGGGGUUAGCGGUAACGCGAAGCUCUUGAUCGAAGCCCCGGUAAACGGCGGCCGUAACUAUAACGGUCCUAAGGUAGCGAAAUUCCUUGUCGGGUAAGUUCCGACCUGCACGAAUGGCGUAAUGAUGGCCAGGCUGUCUCCACCCGAGACUCAGUGAAAUUGAACUCGCUGUGAAGAUGCAGUGUACCCGCGGCAAGACGGAAAGACCCCGUGAACCUUUACUAUAGCUUGACACUGAACAUUGAGCCUUGAUGUGUAGGAUAGGUGGGAGGCUUUGAAGUGUGGACGCCAGUCUGCAUGGAGCCGACCUUGAAAUACCACCCUUUAAUGUUUGAUGUUCUAACGUGGGCCCCUUACCGGGGUUGCGGACAGUGUCUGGUGGGUAGUUUGACUGGGGCGGUCUCCUCCUAAAGAGUAACGGAGGAGCACGAAGGUUGGCUAAUCCUGGUCGGACAUCAGGAGGUUAGUGCAAUGGCAUAAGCCAGCUUGACUGCGAGCGUGACGGCGCGAGCAGGUGCGAAAGCAGGUCAUAGUGAUCCGGUGGUUCUGAAUGGAAGGGCCAUCGCUCAACGGAUAAAAGGUACUCCGGGGAUAACAGGCUGAUACCGCCCAAGAGUUCAUAUCGACGGCGGUGUUUGGCACCUCGAUGUCGGCUCAUCACAUCCUGGGGCUGAAGUAGGUCCCAAGGGUAUGGCUGUUCGCCAUUUAAAGUGGUACGCGAGCUGGGUUUAGAACGUCGUGAGACAGUUCGGUCCCUAUCUGCCGUGGGCGCUGGAGAACUGAGGGGGGCUGCUCCUAGUACGAGAGGACCGGAGUGGACGCAUCACUGGUGUUCGGGUUGUCAUGCCAAUGGCACUGCCCGGUAGCUAAAUGCGGAAGAGAUAAGUGCUGAAAGCAUCUAAGCACGAAACUUGCCCCGAGAUGAGUUCUCCCUGACUCCUUGAGAGUCCUGAAGGAACGUUGAAGACGACGACGUUGAUAGGCCGGGUGUGUAAGCGCAGCGAUGCGUUGAGCUAACCGGUACUAAUGAACCGUGAGGCUUAACCUUACAACGCCGAAG
rnacentral:rRNA from 1 species